rnacentral:rRNA from 1 species
UACAGAGGUGGCAAGCGUUGUUCGGAUUUAUUGGGCGUAAAGGGUCCGUAGGCGGUUUGGAUAGUCAGAUGUGAAAUCCCACAGCUCAACUGUGGAACUGCAUUUGAAACUUCCAGACUAGAGUAUGAGAGGGGUAAGGGGAAUUCCUGGUGUAAGGGUGAAAUCUGCAGAGAUCGGGAGGAACACCAGUCGCGAAGGCGCCUUACUGGCUCAUUACUGACGCUCAGGGACGAAAGCUAGGGGAGCAAACGGG